rnacentral:rRNA from 1 species
CCUACGGGAGGCAGCAGUGAGGAAUAUUGGUCAAUGGACGCAAGUCUGAACCAGCCAUGCCGCGUGCAGGAAGACGGCUCUAUGAGUUGUAAACUGCUUUUGUACGAGGGUAAACGCAGAUACGCGUAUCUGUCUGAAAGUAUCGUACGAAUAAGGAUCGGCUAACUCCGUGCCAGCAGCCGCGGUAAUACGGAGGAUUCAAGCGUUAUCCGGAUUUAUUGGGUUUAAAGGGUGCGUAGGCGGUCGGAUAAGUUAGAGGUGAAAUCCCGAGGCUCAACUUCGGAAUUGCCUCUGAUACUGUUCGGCUAGAGAGUAGUAGCGGUAGGCGGAAUGUAUGGCGUAGCGGUGAAAUGCUUAGAGAUCAUACAGAACACCGAUGGCGAAGGCAGCUUACCAAGCUACUUCUGACGUUGAGGCACGAAAGCGUGGGGAGCGAACAGGAUUAGAUACCCCUGUAGUC